rnacentral:lncRNA from 1 species
UCGUACUUGACCCCUUCCUCUUCCCUGGCUUGCAGAAGAGUAUUUUCAGAACUCAUCAACUUUUCAUACAGUCUUUGUCCUCUCAUGAACACCUUCACCUCAUUAUCCAGCGGAAACGUCCCAUCGUCUUUUCUGAAGCGGUAGAACAGUUUGGCAUCCUUGAAUUCUUUAUGCUCAUCACAAACAUGAUGGAUAAUGCUGUGAUCCAAUAACUUCUGGACAAGUUUAAUUGCUGUCUCUCGGUCCGAGGCCUCCUUAUGGUCAAUCAGCCAGUCAAUCAGCUCUUUGGCAACGAAGCAGUUGGGAUACGUCUUGAGGUGGUGCCUCCGGUCUUUGAUGACCUUCUCUUCAUGCAGUCGGAGCCGCAGCUGCUCGCCGGUCAGCAGGACCUCGGCCAUGUGCUCCAGCUCGGUCGCUUUCUGCUGCAUGCUGCUCAUGCCCUCCUCCAUCGCCGCCGCCUGCGGGCACAGCGCCGCGAGCUGAGGGGAGCGGGCUCCGACCCCCCGGCCGCAGCUGCCGCCGCUGCGGCCCCGAUCCCCCUCUCGUGGCCGGGGGCACCGGCAGCCUCCCCCCGCCGCGCUCACCUGGAGGAGACGGAGCGCCGUUUCGGUUCGCUUCCCCCCCCCCGCCCCCCACCCCCUCCAAAACCCGCCCCGCUUCCCGUGUUAUUGUGUCACGGGCGGGGAGAGAAACACAUGGCUGCGGCCGCCGCGGCACGGCUCGCCGAGGCAGCAGCGGCCCCCCCCGGCUGUCACACGGCAGGGAGUCACCGGCAGCCCCCGGCACGGGAGCGGCUCUGAGGGGGAGCUGCGCUGCGCCCCACGCCCCGGCUAUGGGCUGCGCGGAGCUGCCCCCGGCCGCGCUGUCACGGCCGCUGCCUCCCUCCGCCCGGCUCCCCGCGCACCCCCUGUGGCCGGGGGGCCGCUCUCACACAUUGCCCCCGUGACGCCGCACCUCUUUGUCCCUCCGGCGACGGCGGCCGCAGAAUUCCUGGGGGCUGAAAAGCGAUUCUCGCAAUAUUCAGUCUUUGAGAUGGGAAGUGCGAGGUCGUGAGCGCCUUUUGUCAGCACCGCUGGCGGAAAAAAGCACCAGAAUGGAAACAAGUCCAAGGCCACUUCUGCAGUGGUCCAAGAAGGGAUUUCAUUUGCAACAACGCAUGAUUAAGAUACACCUCGAUCUCAUGUGCACUCAUUGCGUUUCUCUCUGCCUGCACACACUGUGUGCGUGGAAAACUGCAUCUGCUUCAUAUUUGCAAUAUUGUCAUAGUUUGAUGACCAAGACCAUGGCUUCAGAACAAGGAUAAGCACUAACAAGGAAUCACGUGAAGGAAUCGAACCCAGUAUAAAGCAGGCUGAAAAGAAAGAGGAGGUGGAUCUCCAAACAGCCCCGGUAGACUUACAGUAUUUACGACUAAAGGAGGCUCGAUUAAAAUAAUAAUAAUAUUAAUAAUAAUAAUAACUUGGAGUCAAAGAAAAAAUGGACAAGUAGUUGGAAAAUAAGCCCAAGGAGGCUUAGGAAGCAGACAGCAGCCACGUCCAGCUGUGGAAAUUCUCUGCUAAAAAUAAUUGGAAGCUAGGCACGCACUUGCAAGAAGUUCCAUAUAUGCCUUCUCUGCAGUUCCCUAGCAUCUGUUCAUAGCCACUUGUGAGAUGAAUAUUGGACCAGGUGCACCUCUGGUUCAGCCCAUCACAGUCACGGUAGGGAAUGUCUCAGUGUGUCUAAAAGAACCCCACUGACCAAUGGGUGGUGAGCGAAGAAAAACCGAAUCUGC